GUGCUUACCUCAGCAGCACAUAUAGUAAAAUUGGAAUGAUGCAGAGAAGAUUAGCAUGGCCCCUUUGCAAGGAUAACACAUAAAUUCGUGGUGCAUUCUAUAUUUUU